UACGUAGGGGGCAAGCGUUGUCCGGAUUUACUGGGCGUAAAGAGCGUGUAGGCGGCCAAGCAGGUCCGUUGUGAAAACUGGAGGCUUAACCUCCAGACGUCGACGGAAACCGCGUGGCUAGAGUCCGGAAGAGGAGAGUGGAAUUCCUGGUGUAGCGGUGAAAUGCGCAGAGUAUCAGGAGGAACACCGAUGGCGAAGGCAGGUCUCUGGGCAUUAACUGACGCUGAGGAGCGAAAAGCAUGGGGAGCGAACAGG
rnacentral:rRNA from 1 species